rnacentral:rRNA from 1 species
AUGCCAACCAUGGCAAUGGCGUUCCCAACCCUACCAGUUACCCUCACAUGCCUCACACUGUUAGCUCUCUUGUCGAUUGUCAUGGCAGCUGAUAGCAACUCCACGGCCACUGGCCUCAUUCUUCUAGAUUGCGGAGCAUCAAGCCCAAAUGUUGAUGAUAGUGGUCGUAUUUGGGAUGGGAACGCCGGCUCCAAGUUCGCGCCAUCAGUGAAAGGAGUUGCAGCCACUGCUUCAUACCAAGACCCUUCACUCCCCUCCUUGGUCCCUUAUAUUACUACACGCAUCUUCACUUCAAAUUACACCUAUCACUUCCCUGUCAGUCCAGGCCGCCUGUUCUUACGCCUCUACUUCUAUCCGAUUGCUUAUGCAAACUAUGCUGUCUUCGAUGCCUUCUUUGAUGUCACCGCAGGAAAUCUUGUACUCUUAAAUGGCUUCAAUGCUUCGCAAACUGCUCAGGCGAUCAAUUCUGCCUACCUUGUCCGUGAAUUUUCAGUGAAUGUUUCUUCAGGCAACUUGGACCUCACCUUUGCCCCAUCAGCAUAUCAGAAUGGUUCUUAUGCAUUUGUCAAUGGCGUUGAGAUUGUGUCUACGCCUGACAUCUUUACAACAUCUAACUCAAGAUUUGUCGACGGCGGUAACACAUUUCCAUUCUCAUUCGCCGCUGACACAGGCUUCCAGACUAUGUACCGGCUCAAUGUCGGGGGCGAUGCCAUUUUGCCGAUAUAUGACUCGGGCUUUUACCGCUCAUGGAACAGUGAUUCCUCGUACUUGUACUUAUUUGGUGCCUCGGGAGUGACCGUCUCCAAAGAUUUCAAUUUGACCAUUCAGUAUACACCCACAGUGCCGAAUUACACUGCGCCAUUUGAUGUCUAUGGUACAGCUCGGUCAAUGGGGCCAAAUGCACAGGACAACCUGAACAGCAACCUUACAUGGAUUUUACCCGUUGAUGCAGGGUUCGCUUACCUCAUAAGGUUCCAUUUCUGUCAGAUUAAGUAUCCUAUUACCAAGGUGAAUCAGAUGUCGUUCUUCAUCUACAUCAACAACCAGACAGCGCAGCAGCGAAUGGAUGUCAUUUUCUGGAGCGGAGGAAUCGGUAGAACAGCAUACAAAGACUAUGCUAUCAUGGCUAUUGGUUCCGGUCAGGUGGACAUAUGGAUUGCACUUCACCCUGAUCUUUCAAGUGAACCAGAGUAUUUUGAUGCAAUACUUAAUGGUCUUGAGGUUUUCAAGCUACAGGAUUACGAAUCGAACAAUCUUGCUGGGCUCAAUCCUCCACUUUCGCAAUUCACUGAUCUUAACAGUGUUGCAAGAAAAUCCUAUGAUGACAUACCAGCAGUCAUGGGUGGAAUUACUGGCGGUUCUGCUUUGAUGUUGAUUGCCCUUUUCAGCACGUUUGUUAUCUGCACACGGAAGAAGGUAGCAAAAAGUUCUUGCAAGACCGACUAUGGACAUCUGAAUCAUCCCACUGAACUCAGAAAGUCCACAUGUGAUCUUGUCCGUCACUUCUCAUUUACAGAAAUUCAAGUUGCCACCAAAGACUUUGAUGAAGCACUUAUCAUUGGCAGAGGCAGUUUCGGGGAUGUCUACAAUGGAGAGAUAGACGGAGGGACAAAGGUGGCGAUCAAGCGAUUCAACAAGAAAUCCCGGCAAGGCUUUCAUGAGUUUCAGACUGAAAUCGAGAUGCUGUGCAAUUUCCGCCAUCGCCACCUUGUAUCUUUGAUUGGCUACUGUGAGGAGAAGAAUGAGAUGAUUCUGGUGUAUGACUAUAUGGCUCAUGGAACAUUGCGUGAGCACCUAUACAACACCAGAAACCCACCACUGCCGUGGCAGCAACGCCUUGAGAUUUGCAUCGGUGCAGCCCGGGGACUGCAUUACCUCCACACUGGCGCAGAGCUAGGAAUCAUCCACCGUGACGUUAAGAGCACCAACAUCCUAUUGGAUGAUAGGUUCAUGGCAAAGGUUUCCGACUUCGGUCUGUCUAAGGCUAGUCCAGACAUUGACAACACCCACAUGAGCACUGCUGUGAAAGGCACCUUUGGAUAUCUUGAUCCGGAGUACUUCCGGCUGCAGCGUCUCACCAAAAAAUCAGAUGUGUACUCUUUCGGGGUCGUGUUGUUUGAGACCCUGUGUGCACGCCCUGUGAUAAACACCGAGCUCCCCGAGGAGCAAGUGAGCUUGCGUGACUGGGCACUAUCUUGCUGGAAGAAUGGUGUACUCGAGGAGAUUGUUGACCCCCGUGUUAAGGAGGAAAUCACCCCUGAGUGCUUCAGGAUUUUUGCAGAGAUAGCAGAGAAAUGCGUUGCUGAUCGUAGCAUAGAUAGGCCAUCAAUGGGUGAUGUACUCUGGAACCUUGAGGUCGCACUCCAGCUGCAGCAGGAUAGUGCAAGCUACAACGGCAACUGUGCAGAGGGUGCUUCAUUUCUUCGGAUCAGCGCGGUGCAUCAAGACAAACCAUCCACCAACUCAACAAUUAGCAUCACAGCACAGGAAGCCAUAUUUUCAGAUAUUGCGCAUCCAGAAGGCCGAUAA